rnacentral:rRNA from 1 species
GACGAACGCUGGCGGCGUGUUUAACACAUGCAAGUCGAACGAUGAUGCUGGAGCUUGCUCCAGUUGAUUAGUGGCGAACGGGUGAGUAACACGUGAGCAAUCUGCCCUUGACUCUGGAAUAACUGCGGGAAACUGUAGCUAAUACCGGAUACUUUCACCGGAAGGCAUCUUCUGGUGAUGAAAGAAUUUCGGUCAGGGAUGAGCUCGCGGCCUAUCAGCUUGUUGGUGAGGUAACGGCUCACCAAGGCGACGACGGGUAACCGGCCUGAGAGGGUGACCGGUCACACUGGGACUGAGACACGGCCCAGACUCCUACGGGAGGCAGCAGUGGGGAAUAUUGCACAAUGGGCGCAAGCCUGAUGCAGCAACGCCGCGUGAGGGAUGAAGGCCUUCGGGUUGUAAACCUCUUUUAGCAGGGAAGAAGCGAAAGUGACGGUACCUGCAGAAAAAGCACCGGCUAACUACGUGCCAGCCGCCGCUGUAA